GAUGAACGCUGGCGGCGUGCCUAAUACAUGCAAGUAGAACGCUGAAGGAGGAGCUUGCUCUUCUGGAUGAGUUGCGAACGGGUGAGUAACGCGUAGGUAACCUGCCUGGUAGCGGGGGAUAACUAUUGGAAACGAUAGCUAAUACCGCAUGACAACAGUUAUUGCAUGAUAACUGUUUAAAAGGGGCAACUGCUCCACUACCAGAUGGACCUGCGUUGUAUUAGCUAGUUGGUGAGGUAACGGCUCACCAAGGCGACGAUACAUAGCCGACCUGAGAGGGUGAUCGGCCACACUGGGACUGAGACACGGCCCAGACUCCUACGGGAGGCAGCAGUAGGGAAUCUUCGGCAAUGGACGGAAGUCUGACCGAGCAACGCCGCGUGAGUGAAGAAGGUUUUCGGAUCGUAAAGCUCUGUUGUAAGAGAAGAACGAGUGUGAGCGUGGAAAGUUCACACUGUGACGGUAUCUUACCAGAAAGGGACGGCUAACUACGU
rnacentral:rRNA from 1 species